rnacentral:rRNA from 1 species
UACGUAGGGGGCAAGCGUUGUCCGGAUUUAUUGGGCGUAAAGAGCGUGUAGGCGGCCAUACAGGUCAGCUGUGAAAACUCGAGGCUCAACCUCGAGACGUCGGUUGAAACCGUAUGGCUAGAGUCCGGAAGAGGAGAGUGGAAAUUCCCGGUGUAGCGGGUGAAAAUGCGCAGAUAUCGGGGAAAGAAACACCCCGUGGCGAAAGGCGGCUCUC